CAAUAUAAGUGAUGGCGACCGGCGCACGGGUGAGUAACACGUAUCCAACCUGCCGAUAACUCGGGGAUAGCCUUUCGAAAGAAAGAUUAAUACCCGAUGGUAUAAUAAAACCGCAUGGUUUAAUUAUUAAGGAAUUUCGGUUAUCGAUGGGGAUGCGUUCCAUUAGGCAGUUGGUGAGGUAACGGCUCGCCAAACCUUCGAUGGAUAGGGGUUCUGAGAGGAAGGUCCCCCACAUUGGAACUGAGACACGGUCCAA
rnacentral:rRNA from 1 species